rnacentral:lncRNA from 1 species
AUUAACCUUGAUACUUAGUUUUUUUGUUGUUUUCAAGCAAGACACAAGAAAAUUUGGUAACCCAGUUCCCUUUCGGUACAUCUGGGGAGAGACGGUACUCUCAACGGUCCACUAUAAUCGAUCAAGUGUUUACAAUAAUGAGUUUGUUCCUUCACCGUUAAACUCACGUAUCUCUCUUCUUUCCUUUGUUUCAGGUUCCACAAAGAAGAAAGACCAGAAACUAAUUCACCUUAGUUUCAACCACAGAUGCCUUAACCCAGAAGAUGAAGACGAAAGCCUGAAAACCCUUAACCGUGUAUCUCUGUUUCUCUUCUCCUUCUCUCGUUAAUUAUCUAUGCCUCUCAUUCACGUUUAAAACCCUUGUUCCUCCUUAUAUACCAAGUAGAAGACUUUAAUUCUUGUACGUGAUUCUUUUCUUAUGGGCUUGAGCCCAACACUUAUGUAAACACGUAAGAAGACUUUGGCCCAUGUGAUAAUAGAGACUAUCUGCUCACAUGGAGAAUAAUCCGUGGCAUACUUCAGUGAGAAACUCAGUGGAGCUUCACUCAAUUUUCCUACAUAUGAUACGGAGCUCUAUGAUUUGUUAAGAUUUCUAGAAUUUCAUCUCUUUAUAUCUGUUGAGAGUGACUAGUCCAACAACAGUAUCACCAUCCAUCACCCCCUUUAGGUUCCAUCUCGUUUUGAUGCCUAUAUCAAAUUUGUGGAAUGAUUGUACCACACCGAUUUAGGUUAAAGAACCUGCAGUUAACCGUGUUGAAUUUCAGUUGAUACGAAUAUAAAACUAUCAACAGGUGGCGACACCAAGCUACCAAUAUGCAAUGACUAGAUGCCAAGAAGAUUUCUUAAAGGCGAGCUGGGUUUUCGUAAAUUGUUCAAGUAUAUUGUAGAACCAGAAGCUAUGUAAUACUUGUUGCAAGUUGUAAUCCAUAUCAAACUAAAAAAAUAGUAAGACCCAGCAUCUACAGACUAGAAACUCUGGCUAAAUUCCUCAUGAAAAUCCUAUGGAAUACUAUGUAUUUGAAAAGAUUUUAUUAAGAUAUAAUUUGUAAAGUACAAUUGAUCUGAUCCUUUUUUUGGUUAUAUAGCUAGCUCUGGAGGUCAAGUGCAUCCAAGAGUUCCAAUCUGUU